ACAGUUUAAAACUAAACUGCCUUAAGGCCAGGUCCAACAGUUAUAUACGAAACUUUAAAGCGCAAAGUGUUCGGCAGAAACGAGGUUCAUUAGUUAAAAUAACCCUUGCUGCAGUGAAUAAUCAACCAAAUAAUUACUUGUGCAUGUCAACUCUGAUUGCUAUGUAUGAAAGUGUUUACUUACCUGCUGCCUCCAUCGAAAUAAGUCUCACAAUAUUGAAGUGCCUACUGUGAUAGAAGUAAACAAAUAUAACAAAAGCAGUGGCUAGAAAGUAAAAACAAAACAAUAAAAAAUUCCAUUAAUUAACACAUUAGAAUAUCAAUUUGAAAAAAUUAACGGAAAGCGAAAAUGCAUAUAAAAGACUUCGUAUCAUCGCCGCUGCUGCUACUACUGCCUACUGUCAUCACCUUUUCCACACUUCACAACAACAUUGAGUGCGUUGAAAUUCCAACACGUUUCCUAUACAAACGAAACGCUGAUGCGGGUGACACAGCGAAUAUCAUCGAUGGGAAGGUCCGCGUAAGAAGAGACGACGAAGGUGCAAAUGAUGUGAUUCCUAUGGACUUCUACAAAGAACUGGACAAUGUGACAGAUGUAACAGAAUUCAUAGAGCGUUUUGUCAACAAGGACACGAUUGAUCCCAAAUUAGGCUUGCAAGACACCUUCAGACGUAGCGUGGAGCGCGCCAAUGUGCAAACACCGAAGCCAGCUAAUUGCAUACCAGAGAACACUGUUGUACCCCUUACACCGCUAGAACCUUCACAUGACCCAAAAGUCGUAUACUUUCCGAAAUGUACGCGCGUAAAACGCUGCGGUGGUUGCUGCGGUUCGCAGCUGAUGUCUUGUCAACCCACCGAGACGGAGACAAUCAACUUUGAGGUGAUCAAAAUUAAUCAUGGCGACAGCACGCGAAUACGUGGCAAGGAGAUCGUCGUGGUAGAGCAGCAUACAAAAUGCCAAUGUGACUGUCGUAUUAAGGCGGAGGUAGGUAGGCGGGAUUGCAAUUCGUAUCAAAUUUAUCGACGUGACAUGUGCAGUUGUGUGUGUACGAACGAGGAUGCGUUACAAAAAUGUUUAGCGCAAGAGCACAAAUACUGGGAUGAAACAGCCUGCCGAUGUGUCUGCCGUGAUAGCCAGUCGUGCACGACCGGCACAAUAUUUGACGAAAGUCAAUGUGCUUGCAUCGAUAUAAACCAGGUCGAAUACGUCGCGUAGAUUAUUUCAAAUAUGUAGAACGCACUAAGAAAUCACGCCAAAAAUAUAAUACAAAAGCGAUAUAACUUAAGAAGCUAAAGCACUAUAUACCUACAUAUGCGCAUAUGUGCUUAUACAUAAAAAAUACGUAAAAUACGUUUAAAACCUUUCUAAGCAAAAUUCUGAAAUGUGAUUUUUGAAGAUAAAUUAAAAUAAUUAUUGCAUGGCAAACUAAAGCGAUUAUAAUAAACUUUUUUAGCUGCAUACAUACAUACGUAUGUAUGCAUAUACAACUGUAAAUUGUGCAAUACUUACAUGCACACACAUUUACAUACAACACUUAGGUGUGUAUGAACUUAAUAGGUAUUUAAAUGGACUUAAUUAGCACUUGUGAUUCACGUUCUAAAUGGAAACUGUAAUUUACUACUUGUUUAAGGCGUUUUACAUGAUUUUUGUCUUAAAGUAAUGACAUAUUUUUUCGCUAACUUAUCCCAUUGAUGAUGGCAGCAGCACAGGAAGUUCCAGUUCCAGUUCGACUUCUCUGCUUGAUCGCAGACGUUUCAUUGUCAAGGCUAUACCAGU